GCCCCCGUAGCGCAGUGGAUAGCGCGGCGGUUUCCGGAACCGCAGGCCGUAGGUUCGAUCCCUACCGGGGGUGCCA
rnacentral:tRNA from 1 species